rnacentral:rRNA from 1 species
AUUGAACGCUGGCGGCAGGCCUAACACAUGCAAGUCGAGCGGCAGCGGGAAAGUAGCUUGCUACUUUUGCCGGCGAGCGGCGGACGGGUGAGUAAUGCCUGGGAAAUUGCCCAGUCGAGGGGGAUAACAGUUGGAAACGACUGCUAAUACCGCAUACGCCCUACGGGGGAAAGCAGGGGACCUGCGGGCCUUGCGCGAUUGGAUAUGCCCAGGUGGGAUUAGCUAGUUGGUGAGGUAAUGGCUCACCAAGGAGACGAUCCCUAGCUGGUCUGAGAGGAGGAUCAGCCACACUGGAACUGAGACACGGUCCAGACUCCUACGGGAGGCAGCAGUGGGGAAUAUUGCACAAUGGGGGAAACCCUGAUGCAGCCAUGCCGCGUGUGUGAAGAAGGCCUUCGGGUUGUAAAGCACUUUCAGCGAGGAGGAAAAGUUGAUGCCUAAUACGUAUCAACUGUGACGUUACUCGCAGAAGAAGCACCGGCUAACUCCGUGCCAGCCGCCGCGGUAA